rnacentral:rRNA from 1 species
GUGACUGCGUACCUUUUGUAUAAUGGGUCAGCGACUUAUAUUCUGUAGCAAGGUUAACCGAAUAGGGGAGCCGGAGGGAAACCGAGUCUUAAUUGGGCGUUAAGUUGCAGGGUAUAGACCCGAAACCCGGUGAUCUAGCCAUGGGCAGGUUGAAGGUUGGGUAACACUAACUGGAGGACCGAACCGACUAAUGUUGAAAAAUUAGCGGAUGACCUGUGGCUGGGGGUGAAAGGCCAAUCAAACCGGGAGAUAGCUGGUUCUCCCCGAAAGCUAUUUAGGUAGCGCCUCGUGAAUUCAUCUCCGGGGGUAGAGCACUGUUUCGGCUAGGGGGCCAUCCCGGCUUACCAACCCGAUGCAAACUGCGAAUACCGGAGAAUGUUAUCACGGGAGACACACGGCGGGUGCUAACGUCCGUCGUGAAGAGGGAAACAACCCAGACCGCCAGCUAAGGUCCCAAAGUCAUGGUUAAGUGGGAAACGAUGUGGGAAGGCCCAGACAGCCAGGAUGUUGGCUUAGAAGCAGCCAUCAUUUAAAGAAAGCGUAAUAGCUCACUGGUCGAGUCGGCCUGCGCGGAAGAUGUAACGGGGCUAAACCAUGCACCGAAGCUGCGGCAGCGACACUCAGGUGUUGUUGGGUAGGGGAGCGUUCUGUAAGCCUGUGAAGGUGGGCUGUGAGGGUUGCUGGAGGUAUCAGAAGUGCGAAUGCUGACAUAAGUAACGAUAAAGCGGGUGAAAAGCCCGCUCGCCGGAAGACCAAGGGUUCCUGUCCAACGUUAAUCGGGGCAGGGUGAGUCGACCCCUAAGGCGAGGCCGAAAGGCGUAGUCGAUGGGAAACGGGUUAAUAUUCCCGUACUUGGUGUUACUGCGAAGGGGGGACGGAGAAGGCUAUGUUGGCCGGGCGACGGUUGUCCCGGUUUAAGCGUGUAGGUGUGUGUUCCAGGUAAAUCCGGUUCACUUUAACACUGAGGCGUGAUGACGAGGCACUACGGUGCUGAAGCAACAAAUGCCCUGCUUCCAGGAAAAGCCUCUAAGCAUCAGGUAACAUCAAAUCGUACCCCAAACCGACACAGGUGGUCAGGUAGAGAAUACCAAGGCGCUUGAGAGAACUCGGGUGAAGGAACUAGGCAAAAUGGUGCCGUAACUUCGGGAGAAGGCACGCUGACACGUAGGUGAAGUGAUUUACUCAUGGAGCUGAAGUCAGUCGAAGAUACCAGCUGGCUGCAACUGUUUAUUAAAAACACAGCACUGUGCAAACACGAAAGUGGACGUAUACGGUGUGACGCCUGCCCGGUGCCGGAAGGUUAAUUGAUGGGGUCAGCGCAAGCGAAGCUCCUGAUCGAAGCCCCGGUAAACGGCGGCCGUAACUAUAACGGUCCUAAGGUAGCGAAAUUCCUUGUCGGGUAAGUUCCGACCUGCACGAAUGGCGUAAUGAUGGCCAGGCUGUCUCCACCCGAGACUCAGUGAAAUUGAACUCGCUGUGAAGAUGCAGUGUACCCGCGGCAAGACGGAAAGACCCCGUGAACCUUUACUAUAGCUUGACACUGAACAUUGAGCCUUGAUGUGUAGGAUAGGUGGGAGGCUUUGAAGUGUGGACGCCAGUCUGCAUGGAGCCGACCUUGAAAUACCACCCUUUAAUGUUUGAUGUUCUAACGUGGACCCGUAAUCCGGGUUGCGGACAGUGUCUGGUGGGUAGUUUGACUGGGGCGGUCUCCUCCUAAAGAGUAACGGAGGAGCACGAAGGUUGGCUAAUCCUGGUCGGACAUCAGGAGGUUAGUGCAAUGGCAUAAGC